GAGUUUGAUCAUGGCUCAGAUUGAACGCUGGCGGCAGGCCUAACACAUGCAAGUCGAGCGGCAGCAGGCCCUCCGGGGUGCUGGCGAGCGGCGGACGGGUGAGUAAUGCAUGGGAACUUACCCAGUAGUGGGGGAUAGCCCGGGGAAACCCGGAUUAAUACCGCAUACGCCCUGAGGGGGAAAGCGGGCUCCGGCUCGCGCUAUUGGAUGGGCCCAUGUCGGAUUAGUUUGUUGGUGAGGUAACGGCUUACCAAGGCGACGAUCCGUAGCUGGUCUGAGAGGAUGAUCAGCCACACCGGGACUGAGACACGGCCCGGACUCCUACGGGAGGCAGCAGUGGGGAAUAUUGGACAAUGGGGGCAACCCUGAUCCAGCCAUGCCGCGUGUGUGAAGAAGGCCUUUGGGUUGUAAAGCACUUUCAGCAGGGAGGAAAAGCUGGUCGCUAAUACCGGCCAGUGUUGACGUUACCUGCAGAAGAAGCACCGGCUAACUCCGUGCCAGCAGCCGCGGUAC
rnacentral:rRNA from 1 species